AGUCCUCCAACCAGCCCCAGGUGGACACACACGGAAACCUUGCCACUUGGUAGAGCUGGCAACCGAAGCUCGGGGACUGUGUCAGGCCCCGAGGCCCCCUCGUGCUGCACUGCUCUGCUGAGAGCAGGUUGUAAUCUCCCAGUUGAGCUCUGCCAAGAGCCCAAGGAGAAUGAGAUCAGAGGGAAAAGUCCGGGAUGAGUCAUCGUUCUGCAUUCCUGUAUUGACCACCUACUAGGAGCAGCCCCUGUUCCAGGAGGAGCCUCAGAGACAGAAGGACAACAAGCCCCGCCCCCAAGCUGGGGAGACAGCUGAGUACACGAAGGGUGACAAGUUCUCCCGCCAGCCAGCGCUGGGGAAGCCCGGGGCGUUGGAGCAAGGGCGCGGGAUUGAGAGGGAACGCCUGCCAGGGGGAAAAGGCUGUGCUUCCUCUGGGGCCGAGGAGCAGGAGGGAGGCGGCCCUUCGCCCUUGAACGUGAGCAGCAUCCCCCCACUCCUUGCUCUCCUGUGACAGGGAGCCAGACACCCACGGCACCUCUGGGGAUCCUGACGCCUCGGGGGGCGUCUCCUCUCUCCCUGACCACGUUCGUGGCAAACGCUGGCCAGACACUGCUAGUGAACUGAGCUUCGAGGAAGAACGCGGACCCAGCGUAACCUGGGGUUAUGUCCAGGUCCCAGAUGAGAAAACGGACAUACACUGAGGUUCGGUACCUCACCCAAGAUCACAUAGGAUAUUUUUGAGAAUGAAACAGGCACUCUUAACAGUUAUGCAAGAGUAAAGGUGUCAACCAGCACCACCCAGGGCAAGCCAGAACAUACCAUCCUGCUAAAACUGCAUCCACAGAGAAGAUACAGAUUGCUUAAAAAGGAAAUACAAAUAGACUGGCAACAGACUUCUCUAGACACCAGAAGACAAUGGAAAAAUACUUGCAAAUUACUACAAGAAAAUAAAGUUCAACCCAGAAUUCUAUACCCAGCUAGGUGUUACAAGAAAAAAAAUAAAAUAAAACGAACCCAGCUCAAAGUAAGAUUAAGAGAGUUUACCUUUACAGACCGAUGCCGAAAGAAGAACUAAAGAAUGCACUUGAGGGAGAAGAAAAUUAAAUAUAGAAAAAGAAGGAGAAGCAAUAAACAAUGAUGAGCAAAUACACUGGUAGAGUUACAGAUGAAUCUAAACAAACCAUGACAACUUAACAAAUGUUUGGGAAAUGUAAAAAAACACACUUCUAAACAACAAAUGAGGGAGUUCCCAUAUGUGGCUGAGUGGGUUAAAAAUCCAACUAGUAUCCAUGAAGAUGUGGGUUCGAU